GACCGCGUAGCUCAAUUGGCAGAGCAUUGGGCUAGUAUUCCAAAGGUCGUAGGUUCGAUCCCCCCCGUGGCCA